AGUGCUCGGCUGUUUUUAACCAGUUUGAGCCUGUUUCAAUGUCAGAGCUUACAGGGACAGUUGUUAAACUGAGACCCUCGUCCAGUCCAACAGACCCGGUCCCUUCUCACUUUUUUAAGGAGGUCUGGGACACUAAUGGUUCUUUUAUAAGAGAAAUCAUAAACAGCAGCUUGGUUUCUGGCAUUGUGCCCGCUUUCUGUAAGAAAGCUGUUGUUGAGCCUCUAGAUCUCAGGCUUCAU